rnacentral:tRNA from 1 species
UCCCUGAUAGCUCAGUUGGUAAAGAAUCUGCCUGCAGUGCAGGAGACACUGGUUCAAUUCCUGUAUCGGGAA